rnacentral:rRNA from 1 species
GACGAACGCUGGCGGCGUGCUUAACACAUGCAAGUCGAACGGAAAGGCCCUGCUUUUGUGGGGUGCUCGAGUGGCGAACGGGUGAGUAACACGUGAGUAACCUGCCCUUGACUUUGGGAUAACUUCAGGAAACUGGGGCUAAUACCGGAUAGGAGCUCCUGCUGCAUGGUGGGGGUUGGAAAGUUUCGGCGGUUGGGGAUGGACUCGCGGCUUAUCAGCUUGUUGGUGUGGUAGUGGCUUACCACGGCUUUGACGGGUAGCCGGCCUGAGAGGGUGACCGGCCACAUUGGGACUGAGAUACGGCCCAGAGUCCUACGGGAGGCAGCAGUGGGGAAUAUUGCACAAUGGGCGGAAGCCUGAUGCAGCAACGCCGCGUUCGGGAUGACGGCCUUCGGGUUGUAAACCGCUUUCGCCUGUGACGAAGCGUGAGUGACGGUAAUGGGUAAAGAAGCACCGGCUAACUACGUG